UUUUUUUACAACUACCACCUAUAAAUACAUUUUUAUUGUGGAAUGAUUGUACCCAUUUCAGUUUUUCAGAAAUUGGGUUCUCUCUCAACUCUCUUGGCUCUAUUAUCUCUCUCUUCAGCCCUUCUCUCUCUUCAGCCCUUCUCUCUCCCUCGUGUAACUCUCUCUCUCUCUCCGACGCAAUCGUCUUUCUCCCUCAGCGGUGGCUAUUCAUCCAAGCUUAACUCCACGAUUCACAUCCACGAGAGAAAAUCCAAUGAUGCAGAAGUCGAGUCACUGCGAUAGGAAUACCAUCAAAGGGUUGCAACACUUGAAAGGAAGCUCCUGAUAAUUGGAGGGGCUAUGCCAACUUAUGAUUGCAGGUGUAUGCUCUUACAAAGGAAAGGGACACGCUUCGGCGGGAGCAGAAUAAGAAAGGUGAUGCAGCUGCUCCUCUGAAGGAAAAGGAUGAAAUAAUUAAUCAAGUUAUGGCUGAAGCUUCAGGAUUAUGGCCUUCGUUUACUGAAAGGAAAUUGCUAUUUGAUCCUGUUAUAUCUUUUAUGGGACAAACAAAUGAGGGAAGUAGUGUUGAUUCAUCACAGAAAGCUGAGUCUUCAGAGCAUCCGCCAAAGGUUGACAAAUCAUCAGGGGAAUCUGAAUCUCCACAAAAACUCUCUACUGUUGAGGCAAAGGAAGGGGUCAAAACAGAAACUUUACAACACUCUUCAACUUAACAGAUGGCUGAUAAGGAGGAAACUGAAGUUGUCAAGGAAGAAACAGAUGAUAAGCAUGCUGCGACAGUGGAGGAAACAGAGACUGUGGUAGCAGAGCCUGAAAAAUCUGAAUCUGAAUCUGAAAAAUAGAAAAUCUAUAUGUUGGGGGUUUUCUGGCUAGCUAAAAAUUUAUUAUAAUGGCAAAACUAGCAGGUGGCCCUAGUGAGAGAGAUCAGCAUGCAGGGAUGGAUGAGGACUAAUUUUGUGUGUAUGACAAUUGACUAUCUUUGCUUGUAUUGCUCUAUGUUAGGGAUCUUUUGUUCCAUUUUAGUAACAAUUUUGUUUAGGAGAAAAAGAAACAUAUUGCAGUUCAUGCUUUGUAAAUGCCACUAUUAUGUUAUGAUGGACGCGUGGUAUGCCCUUGUUGGGUAGGUUUUGGAUUGAAACCAUGGUCGAGUGCUUGAGCCAUGUUUAGUGUGAAGCUUGAAUGGAUUUUCUUUUCUGUUGUA